GAUGAACGCUGGCGGCGUGCCUAAUACAUGCAAGUCGAGCGAACGGACGAGAAGCUUGCUUCUCUGAUGUUAGCGGCGGACGGGUGAGUAACACGUGGAUAACCUACCUAUAAGACUGGGAUAACUUCGGGAAACCGUAGCUAAUACCGGUUAAUAUUUUGAACCGCAUGGUUCAAAAGUGAAAGACGGUCUUGCUGUCACUUAUAGAUGGAUCCGCGCUGCAUUAGCUAGUUGGUAAGGUAACGGCUUACCAAGGCAACGAUGCAUAGCCGACCUGAGAGGGUGAUCGGCCACACUGGAACUGAGACACGGUCCAGACUCCUACGGGAGGCAGCAGUAGGGAAUCUUCCGCAAAGGGCGAAAGCCUGACGGAGCAACGCCGCGUGAGUGAUGAAGGUCUUCGGAUCGUAAAACUCUGUUAUUAGGGAAGAACAUAUGUGUAAGUAACUGUGCACAUCUUGACGGUACCUAAUCAGAAAGCCACGGCUAACUACGUG
rnacentral:rRNA from 1 species